rnacentral:lncRNA from 1 species
CAGGGCCGUAAAUUACAUAGAGGCAUGUAGGCAGUUGCCUCCUAUUGCGGGCUGACAAAAAAAAAUGGAAAAAAAAAACACUGAAAAGAAAAAAUUGGUUAAAAUCAUGCAUUAUUUUUAUAGCACUGGUUGUAAGUUAAAAUAACAAGGUGGUUAAUCUUAGGCAUGCAGGUGUGUUCAAUAUUUGGAUCUGAACGGUCGGUACCCAACUCAACUCCUUUGCAC